rnacentral:rRNA from 1 species
AUGCCUCCCUUUCUCGAGCGCCCCCGCGCCCUGCCGGCCUCGGCCUCCCGCGGCUGCCGCUGCUGGCCCCGCUGCCGAGCUCUCCACCGCGCCCGAACCCUCCUCUCGCUCGUCGCCCCGCCUCUAGGGUCCUCCCCUUGCUCCCGCGCUCCGCCCUCGCCGGAGAAGAGAGCCAGGCCGGAGCCCAGUCGGCCUCCUCGCCUCCGUCGCGUCCCGUUCCAUCAGCCCCACGCCCGGCCUCCGCAACUCCACUGGGACGGCCAACUCCGGCGGCCCUCCGUCGCCCUCAAGCUCGUUCAGCGGCCCCCUGUCUUCUCCUCGUGCCCGCCGCCGUCUUCGUCUGCGCCCGGAGGAGCCCGCCGCCUCCCUGCCUUCUGCUCGACCUCGUUCUCGGCCCCGAGAUUCUGCUGCCAUGGCGUCCCGAGCUCCGCCACACCUCUGCUCCUGCUUCCCCUUCAUGCACCUGCCAACCACCACCGCACCGAGUCUUUUGCCUUGCUUCAUUUUGGUUUGGAGACUGAGACGAGACCGCCAAGAUGCACCCUGGUUUUGCCAAGGCCCUCUGUUCGACUCCGUGUACAACUACACGGUGAGACGCCAAGUACCACGACGACCAUCGCUUGCCAAGUUCGACCACAUGGUGACGCGUCAAGUACCUCUACCGCGUCUACGGGAUCGCCAAGAACGCGUACCUCGACGACCCGCCAAGUACCCCUUCGGAUCGCCAAGUUCAUCUACCACGUGUACCACUACCGUCGACCCUCGAAGACCCCGUGGACCCCGAACAUCCACGGGACAUGA